rnacentral:rRNA from 1 species
UACGAAGGGGGCUAGCGUUGUUCGGAAUCACUGGGCGUAAAGCGCACGUAGGCGGAUCUUUAAGUCAGAGGUGAAAUCCCAAGGCUCAACCUUGGAACUGCCUUUGAUACUGGGGAUCUUGAGUCCGGGAGAGGUGAGUGGAACUGCGAGUGUAGAGGUGAAAUUCGUAGAUAUUCGCAAGAACACCAGUGGCGAAGGCGGCUCACUGGCCCGAUACUGACGCUGAGGCGCGAAAGCGUGGGGAGCAAACAGG